CGACAGAAUGAAACUCCAGUCUCAAAAAAAAAAAAAAAAAAAAGUUUUAUCACCGCUAGGGACUGUUAUGUUAAACCCCGAAUGUCUUACUUUAUUGGUGAUUGAAGAAAUUUCCAAGGGUGACUUUGGCUGGACCCCUCACCCAUGUGAGAUGCAACCCCACCCUCCCUGGGCCUAACUCUCCUGCCAUGGACAUCUAGACAGCUUCCUGCCUUUCACUGUCGGCAAGGAUGCUGCUGGGAAACUAGAGUUUUUCCCCUUUAAAAAGAUUCCUUCUGGGGCCGGGCAUGGUGGCUCGCGCCUGUAAUCCCAGCA
rnacentral:lncRNA from 10 species